UCCAACAGAGACAAACACUAGGUGAUUUCUUCCCAUCUAUUCUAUUUGUUGCUAGUGGGAAGUGACAAGUAUUCUGUGGAAUUAGUCGAGGUGCGCGCAGGUUGGCCCAGACACCACGGUUAUCAAAAAGAAGAAAACAAAAAAGAACCACCCCCCACAACCCAGAUAGAUAAAAGCAUCAAUCAAAUAGCUAAAAGCAUUAAUAAUAACAUUAUCCCGUGCAGGAAACACUAACUACUCAAUUCAAAGAACCCCAAACCCCAACUCCAAAUAGCUAAAAGCAUCAAUUUUCACAUUAAAAAAGGUCAACAAUAAC
rnacentral:lncRNA from 1 species